GUGGGGGUGGACAAAGUGGAAAAGUCGCUCGGGUCAGAUCCGAGAGGCCGCAAGGCGUUGAGGGUUCGAACCCCUCUCCCCGCA
rnacentral:tRNA from 1 species